rnacentral:rRNA from 1 species
UACAUGGGGUGCAAACGUUGCUCGGAAUUAUUGGGCGUAAAGCGCACGUAGGCGGUUCGUUAAGUCGGAUGUGAAAGCCCUCGGCUCAACUGAGGAAGUGCACCCGAAACUGGCGAGCUUGAGUACGAAAGAGGAUCGCGGAAUUCCCGGUGUAGAGGUGAAAUUCGUAGAUAUCUGGAGGAAUACCGGUGGCGAAGGCGGCAUCCUGGACCGGCAUUGACGCUGAGUGAGCGAAAGCCAGGGGAGCAAACGGG